UGCUCUGAUGAAAUCAUCUAUAGGAAGUGCCGUCAGAAGCGACAAACUGGCCUCUUCCUACCUUUUAACUGAAG